rnacentral:rRNA from 1 species
AGGGAAUCUUCGGCAAUGGGGGCAACCCUGACCGAGCAACGCCGCGUGAGUGAAGAAGGUUUUCGGAUCGUAAAGCUCUGUUGUAAGUCAAGAACGGGUGUGAGAGUGGAAAGUUCACACUGUGACGGUAGCUUACCAGAAAGGGACGGCUAACUACGUGCCAGCAGCCGCGGUAAUACGUAGGUCCCGAGCGUUGUCCGGAUUUAUUGGGCGUAAAGCGAGCGCAGGCGGUUUGAUAAGUCUGAAGUUAAAGGCUGUGGCUCAACCAUAGUUCGCUUUGGAAACUGUCAAACUUGAGUGCAGAAGGGGAGAGUGGAAUUCCAUGUGUAGCGGUGAAAUGCGUAGAUAUAUGGAGGAACACCGGUGGCGAAAGCGGCUCUCUGGUCUGUAACUGACGCUGAGGCUCGAAAGCGUGGGGAGCGAACAGGAUUAGAUACCCUGGUAGUCCACGCCGUAAACGAUGAGUGCUAGGUGUUGGAUCCUUUCCGGGAUUCAGUGCCGCAGCUAACGCAUUAAGCACUCCGCCUGGGGAGUACGACCGCAAGGUUGAAACUCAAAGGAAUUGACGGGGGCCCGCACAAGCGGUGGAGCAUGUGGUUUAAUUCGAAGCAACGCGAAGAACCUUACCAGGUCUUGACAUCCCGAUGCUAUUUCUAGAGAUAGAAAGUUACUUCGGUACAUCGGUGACAGGUGGUGCAUGGUUGUCGUCAGCUCGUGUCGUGAGAUGUUGGGUUAAGUCCCGCAACGAGCGCAACCCCUAUUGUUAGUUGCCAUCAUUCAGUUGGGCACUCUAGCGAGACUGCCGGUAAUAAACCGGAGGAAGGUGGGGAUGACGUCAAAUCAUCAUGCCCCUUAUGACCUGGGCUACACACGUGCUGCAAUGGUUGGUACAACGAGUUGCGAGUCGGUGACGGCGAGCUAAUCUCUUAAAGCCAAUCUCAGUUCGGAUUGUAGGCUGCAACUCGCCUACAUGAAGUCGGAAUCGCUAGUAAUCGCGGAUCAGCACGCCGCGGUGAAUACGUUCCCG